GAAUAGAAGUAAUUGUCACAAUGCUAACUUGUGAAUUUCUUCUUUACAAGAAUAAUUGAAGCAAGUUAAAAUUUCUUCACAAGGCCAAGAUUUAUUGAUUAUCAAACAGUUGGAACAGGAGUUGGCUAUGGAACUUAAAUAUGAGGAAGCCUUUUGGGCACAGAAGUCUCGGCAAUCUUGGUUAGAGCUAGGAGAUCGUAACACCUCUUAUUUUCAUGCUCAGGUAAUUCAAAGAAGGAAAAAAAAAAAA
rnacentral:misc_RNA from 1 species